rnacentral:tRNA from 1 species
GGGCCUGUAGAUUAGUGGAAGAUCGCUUGACUUGCAAUCAAGAGGCCACGGGUUCAAUUCCCGUCAGGUCCA